AGAAAUUUCAUUCUUCUACUAAUCUCACUUGUUGUUAUGGAUUAUUCACAUAAACUUUGAAUUUCUCCCAGGCUACCUGUAAAAUGAUGUAGGAUCUUCAAAACAAAUGCAUUAACUAUUCCCCUGGCCUGGGAUAUAUAUGUAUUCUCAUCAUGAAGAGGAAAUAUUGACAUAGGACUUUAGUGAGAGCUGCUAAUUUCUCUGAAAUUGCCAUCAAGUGAUUUUGUAAUGCUGACUUCUACUUGCUGAAGGACAGUGAUAGCUGGAGGUGAGAGGUAUAAGUUAGUAUCAAGAAAAAUUUAAGCAGAAUUCACAGAAGAAACUGAAUUUGGAUUGAGAUUGAAGGAUCACAUCUGGAGAGAGGAGAUAAUGGAGAAAGAAUGCACAUGAAAGUCAACAGGCUGGCUGUUGGGAAGAAAAUAUAGACAUAAGUAGUGUGAAGCAAGGAAAAGCUGGAAUCCUUGAGGACAAACAAGAAACCUUGAAAACUAGCUUAUACCCAUGCUUGUCUCUCACAACCUCAAUAAUGGUAAUGUAG
ensembl:lncRNA